CCUGCAGGCAUGCUACUGGGCAGAGGUUAGCGUUGUGAGGAAAGGAGGGAUAGAAGACUGAAGUGAUGUUCGACUUUGUACGUCUGGUGAUAUUAAACAGGACACCAUCCGGUGUGAAUGAUCGUGCAUCGAUAUCCAAGGCCCUCACGUCUGAUACCCGUUUGCAGGAAAUUAAGCAUAGAAGCAUUGCCAAUUUUGCAGACACUUGCUUGAGUGUUAGGUUCGAGUUUGGGGGCCAAUCUUGCAACAAACGAAGGACCAUAUUCACAUCCCAUAGGGCCGUGUAACGAGGUUGUGGUGGACGUGCAAAUUUUAUGCCCCGUAGGAGACGACAGAUCCAUAAGUGCUUCCCAGCCGGGAAGCCUUCCCAACCAGUGUGCCCAGCUGAAAUCGCUGACCUGUAGACAUUUAUGGUGCGAUAAGCCAAGCCUUGAUCAUAAAGGGUAGUAAGGAAAACCAAAACCUGGUUUAUAGGAGCACGUAUGGGAUCCACGUGCCGUUCCACGCACCAACUACACCAUGUGUUCCAGGCAUGGGCAUAGGAACGUCUUGUCCCUGGGGCCCAAGCUCCUGC